CUCAAAUGUUAAAGGGUUACUACUAACCUUUUGAGGGGGGCGCGACGACUUUUUUUGGUGUAAAAUGCCCUAUUAGGCACUUUGAAGAAGGUCCACCCUUCGACUUACAGUAUGACCUGCCAAAAGAAAAGGCAAGAGAGCAUUGGUUACCCUGAAUCCAUCGCCAGGCGAAGAUUCCAGGCCCCUUGGCUUUGUGUGGUCCAAUCACAGGCUUGUCAUACAGAUGCUUGUGAUUGGACUGUUUCAUCGGCUCAGAGCGCAUGCGAGCGAAGGGAUGGGUUUUUAAAUAUAAAUAACUCUGUGUAAUGGAAGGAGGUGGAAGGGAGGAAGAAGCAAUCAUUCCU